AAACCAACAGGGAUUGCCUCAGUAACGGCGAGUGAAGCGGCAAAAGCUCAAAUUUGAAACCUUCGGGAUUGUAAUUUGAAGAUUUGGCAUUGGAGAAAGCUAACCCAAGUUACUUGGAAUAGUACGUCAUAGAGGGUGACAACCCCGUCUGGCUAACCGUUCUCCAUGUAUUGCCUUAUCAAAGAGUCGAGUUGUUUGGGAAUGCAGCUCAAAGUGGGUGGUAAACUCCAUCUAAAGCUAAAUACUGGUGAGAGACCGAUAGCGAACAAGUACUGUGAAGGAAAGGUGAAAAGAACUUUGAAAAGAGAGUGAAAUAGUAUGUGAAAUUGUUGAUAGGGAAGGAAAUGAGUGGAGAGUGGUUGCGGUUUCAACCAGCCUUUGGGCGGGUGUAUUGCCAACGCCGAGUCAUUGUCCGCGAGACGGGAGCUAUAAACGGGUUACAUUUAUGUUUCUCACCUACCUCCCCCACUGCAGUCAACGACAUAAUCCACCCAUUUCACC
rnacentral:rRNA from 1 species